GGCAUAUACAUGGUGGGCUCCAUGGAAACUGGCACAGAGAGGAUGGGGGCUUACCUAAAACAAACCCACAGUUAAACAAGAGAAGCAGCACUUUGUGCGUGCCUAGAGGCAUACCCACAGCUGCAUAAGAUAAGGGGAAUUGCACAGACAGCUUUACUGAUAAGAGAAGUUGCUCAAACUGCUACAGAGAUGAGAAGAGUUUCUUACAAAAGCUUUUGGAUUUAGCUGUAACUCGGCAAUCCACUCGGACUCCCCUCUCUGCUGUGGAGCAUUUCUUCUCUCUCUUAUUAAACUUUUGCUCCACCCCCACCCUUGUGUCCAUGCUCAAUUUUCUUGGACGCAGGACAAAGAAGCCAGGUACUAGUUCAGAGAACAAGAAACUGCUACAUUAUGGUGCAUUGGCAAAACUACAACAUAUUUAGGUGCAGGAAGAAGGGAUCAUCAGAAGGAGGCCAUCAAGCUCCAAAUGGUAAAGUAAAUGGAACCACACAUUAAACGCACCUUUUUUCUGAGGACCCUUAAACCAGCCUCGGGAGGAAUCCUAGCUGCUGUUCCUCACACAAUGCUCCUCUCCAGCAAGAAAUAGCCAGAAAGAUCAAUGCCCAAUCUCCCUAACAGCAGUUAGAGUUCCCACUUCUGAAGUGGGGAAUGAGGGUGAGGGAAAAGAAAAAAUCAGUUGGGGCAAACUUACAGUGUAGAAGCGGUCUGCCUGAAAAGUCACAGCAAUGGGCAAAAACAAAACAAUCUGGGACAAAAACUCAGGCUGCACCUGCACACAGAGAAGCAGACAGCGUCCAGAAAAGAAGCCGUUUGUUCUUCGUAUAAUUAGCAAGCUCCCAGGAAAAAGUUUCCUCCCCUUUUGAGGCAUAUACAUGGUGGGCUCCACAGAAACUUGCACAGGGAAGACGGGGGCUUACCUAAAACAAACCCACAGUUAUACAGAAAAGAGAAGUGGCGCUUUGUGCUUGCCUAGAGACAUACCCACAGCUGCAUAAGAUAAGGGGAGUUGCACAGACAGCUUUACUGAUAGGAGAAGUUACUCAAACUGCUACAGAGAUGAGAAGAGUUUCUUAUAAAAGCUUCUGGAGUCAGCUGUAACUCGGCAAUCCACUCGGACUCCCCUCUCCGCUGCGAAGUGCUUUCUUUCGCUUAUUAAACUUUCACUCCACCCCCACCCUUGUGUCCAUGCUCCUUAAUUUUUUUGGAUGCAGGACAAAGAACCCCGGGUACUUGUUCAGACAACGAGAAACCGCUACUUUAAGGUGCACUGGCAAAACUGCAACAGAACAAGUUAAGUCCACAUGGCUCCACAUUCUGUGGAGGAGGACAUGUUCCUCUUCCACAGAAAAGGGAAGUAGAAGCUCUUCUACUAGGGAGAGGUAGGAAAUCUGGAGGGAACAAGGGGAUAGAAGGUAACAAAAGCAGAUGAAGGAACGGAUUUGUGCGCAGCCUCCAUUUCCCAGCUUUGGAGGAGACUAUCCAAUAGAAGGUGGUUGCCAUGUGAAAGAGAAACCAUGCUGAAGUGUACUUGGGCAGGAGACCUAGAGACAACUUCCCUUUCCACAUCUGCUGUGCAGUCUCCCUUGGCUGUAGGGUGCAGCCAGGGAGCCCAGACGUUUCCACAUGCUUCCAGUGGGGAACAUGGAUGGUAGCUAAGAGUUGAGAGCCAGUGGCCUGCCAGGGGUCACAGUAAUAAGGAAUAGGAUGACAUGUGGCAACUCUAUGGGAUGGAAGGCUUAAGACACGACAGGCUCUUGUAGACAAGCGGGCUUCAGAGGAUCCACAGUACCAGUGAGGGCCAAAAUGGAGAUAAGUCCCCAUAGUGGGUCUGGUGAGGAAAGGACCGUUGGUCCCAAAGGCAGCAAGAGAACUGAAUAGAAGUUACUGCAGCAGGGGUUCCUUCAGCAGCAGAUGAAAGGGUGCCAGUAUACCCGGGAAGACAGGCACACCUACCCAGAACCAGGAGGAGGCAGCAGAGACAGAGGUAAGCAGGCCAGAACCAUCUAAAACAUGUUCCUCAAGGGUGCACAAUCCUCCUGUCACCAGGAUGCUAGAGAGAAAAGGAAGAGAGGAAAAGAGACCCUCUGGAGCACAGAAACAGCCCAGAGAGGGAGUCUGAAUUUUGGGCCGACUGGAUUGGACACUUAUCCCAAAUGAAAGCUUCAGCCCAACACAAAUUGAGCUACCUUCAAUUACAAGCUUUCAUUUGCCACCGUCAACCUGAAGGCAGGAUCUUAAAGUUUAGCUCUUUUCUGGUUUGUCACUGUGAGAUGAAGCCACUGGGUAGAGCACACAGAAGUAGUAUUUAUAAUACACAAAGCCUUGCUAUUAAGAUUUAGUAAGAAAGAAAUGCCCAUUGUAUUGAGGUAAAACCCCCUAUUCUGCAUCAUUCCUCUCACUUUACUGGUGUAGAAUUUGUAAUAAGUUCUAAUAAGAAGGACAACAUUUAAAUGGAUGGGCCCUGAUAUAUAUUUUUGACUAAUUUCUCCUCUUUGGUAUCUCAUUUCCCAAGAAAGCUUUAAAAUCCUCUAACACCAAGGACAGUACUGGUUCAGCUACAUUGUAGAACUGCUCUGAUCACAUAUACUCACAUUCAGAUUACAGGCUUGCAAUGAUUAGAGUUAUUCUUAGAGUAAUUUUACAGAAUAUUUUCAGGGUAGCUAUCUGGGUCAGGUGCUUGGCAUUAGCAGAAAAUAUGAGAAUAAUGAAUUUCCAUAGUGAUUUUCCAAUAACUUAAAAAAUAGAUUUCAAAAAUAAAAAUGAAAUGUCUCACUUGCAUUUUCUCUGUAUCAGCUAUGUUUUUAACAUCUGUAGUUUAAUAUAAAACCUUGUUAUAUUUAGACUUCAUCAAUAAAUAAUAUCUAAUUCAGCAGACUAUGAAAAACGUAACAUUUUGAGGCUGCGAGUCCCUGCACUCAAUAUACACUAUCAUUAAUCUACAAUAAUGUGUGUGUGCAUGCUUUUGUGUAUUUGGUGUGUGGAAGUUACUCAUCUCUCGCUCCUCUUAAAGGUUGUUUCUUACUUUUAGACCAUUCACUAGGAGUCUCAAGACAAAGAGUCAUUUUUGAUUCUCUCCCCUUAAUUCUGAAGUAAAUAUAACCAGGAAGAUUCUUUAGGCAUAGGAAACAAAUCCUCAAUUUGAGAAACACUGAUUUUUUUUAACUAUCCUUUUUUUUUUCCUUUUUAUUGAGACAGAGUCUCGCUCUAUCACCCAGCUGGAGUGCAGUGGCAUGGUCUUGCCUCACUGCAACCUCUGCCACCCGGGUUCAAGUGAUUCUUGUGCCUCAGCCCCCCGAAGAGCUGGGACUACAGGUACGCGCCACCACACCUGGCUAACUUUUUUGUAUUUUUAGUAGAGACAAGGUUUGGCUAUGUUGGUCAGGCUGGUCUCGAACUCCUGACCUCAGGUGAUCCAUCUGCCUCAGCCUCCCAAAGUGCUGGGAUUACAGUCGUGAGCCACCAUGCCCGGCCUCCAUUUUUAUUUUAUAAUAAAUUGAGGACCUUUCCUGCUUUCAUCUAAAACCUCUUUUGCUCAUUUUCAUCAUAAAAGGAAGUGGAAAAAUGCUUACAAUUUAUAAGAAACAGUGCUGACACUUGAAUAUGUUACUAAUGUAGAAUACAAAGUUUAAUUUAGCAUUCAGAAAUCAAUAUACAUUUUCAGUGAAAAGACAGUUUAUCACUUGAUAUAGUUUGGAUGUUUGCCCCCCACAAAUCUCAUGUUAAAAUGUAGUCCCCAGUGUUGGAGGUGGGGCCUGGUGGGAGGUGAUUUGAUCGUGGGGGCGGAUUUCUCAUGUUUAGAACCAUCCUCUUGGUGCUCUCCUCACAACAGUGAGUUCUGGUGAGAUUUGGUUGUUUAAAAAUGUGUAGCUUACCCUCCACUCUCUCUUGCUCUCAGUCUCACCAUGUGAGACCUGCUCCCCCUUUGCCUUCUGCCAUGAUUGUAAGCUUCCUGAGGCCUCCCCCAAAGCCAGGCAUAUGUCAGUGCCAUGCUUGUACAGCCUGCAGAACCAUGAGC
rnacentral:lncRNA from 10 species